CAGUAGCCGCGGGAAUACGGAGGUUGCAAGCGUUAAUCGGAAUUACUGGGCGUAAAGCGUGCGUAGGCGGCUUUUUAAGUCGGAUGUGAAAUCCCUGAGCUUAACUUAGGAAUUGCAUUCGAUACUGGGAAGCUAGAGUAUGGGAGAGGAUGGUAGAAUUCCAGGUGUAGCGGUGAAAUGCGUAGAGAUCUGGAGGAAUACCGAUGGCGAAGGCAGCCAUCUGGCCUAAUACUGACGCUGAGGUACGAAAGCAUGGGGAGCAAACAGGAUUAGAUACCCGUGUAGUCCUGUCUCUUAUACA
rnacentral:rRNA from 1 species